rnacentral:rRNA from 1 species
GUGGGGAAUAUUGGACAAUGGGCGAAAGCCUGAUCCAGCCAUGCCGCGUGUGUGAAGAAGGUCUUCGGAUUGUAAAGCACUUUAAGUUGGGAGGAAGGGCAGUAAGUUAAUACCUUGCUGUUUUGACGUUACCAACAGAAUAAGCACCGGCUAACUCCGUGCCAGCAGCCGCGGUAAUACGGAGGGUGCGAGCGUUGUCCGGAUUUAUUGGGUUUAAAGGGUGCGUAGGCUGGAAGGUCAGUCAGCGGUGAAAAGCUGUCGCUUAACGAUAGUCUUGCCGCAGAUACUUCCUUUCUUGGAUGAGGAGGAGGCCACUGGAACGGAUGGUGUAGCGGUGAAAUGCAUAGAUAUCAUCCAGAACACCGAUUGCGAAGGCAGGUGGCUGUACCUUAAUCGACGCUGAUGCACGAAAGCAUGGGGAGCAAACAGGAUUAGAUACCCGGGUAGUCC